rnacentral:rRNA from 1 species
CCUACGGGGGGCAGCAGUGAGGAAUAUUGGUCAAUGGCCGUAAGGCUGAACCAGCGAAGUCGCGUGAAGGAAGAAGGAUCUAUGGUUUGUAAACUUCUUUUACAGGGGAAUAAAUGUAUCUACGUGUGGAUAUUUGCAUGUACCCUAUGAAUCAGCAUCGGCUAACUCCGGGCCAGCAGCCGCGGUAAUACGGAGGUGGCGGGCGUUAUCCGGAUUUAUUGGGGUUAAAGGGUGCGUAGGGUGUUUUUCAAGUCGGCGGUGAAAGUUUGUGGCUCAACCAUAAAAUUGCCUUUGAAACUGGAAGACGUGAGUGUAGUUGAGGUAAGCGGAAUGCGUAGUGUAGCGGUGAAAUGCAUAGAUAUCACGCAGAACUCCAAUUGCGAAGGCAGCUUACUAAGCCAUAACUGACACUGAAGCACGAAAGCGUGGGGAUCAAACAGGAUUAGAUACCCCUGUAGUC